rnacentral:RNase_P_RNA from 1 species
CGAGACCCCUUGAUGGCCGCGAUCGCGAUCGUUCAUUCGACGGGAUUGAGGAACUUCCGGGCUCCGCAGAGCACGAUGGCGGAUAACGUCCGCCCAGGGUGACCUGAGAGAUAGCGCAGCAGAGAACAGACCGCCCGUCCUCGACGGGUAAGGGUGAAACGGCGGUGUAAGAGACCACCGGGCCUCUGGUAACAGCAGGCCGCAUGGCAAGCCUCAUCGGGAGCAA